rnacentral:rRNA from 1 species
UACGGAGGGUGCGAGCGUUGUCCGGAAUCAUUGGGCGUAAAGGGCGCGUAGGUGGCGGGACAAGCGUGCGGUGAAAGCUCGGGGCUCAACCCCGCGUCGGCCGUGCGAACUGUUUUGCUUGAGCACUGUAGAGGCAGGCGGAAUUCCGGGUGGAGUGGUGAAAUGCGUAGAGAUCCGGAGGAACACCAAAGGCGAAGGCAGUGUCCUGGGGAGUACCUGACGCUCAGGUGCGAAAGCCAGGGGAGCGAACGGG